GUGGGAGUAGCUCAGUUGGUUAGAGUAUCAGAUUGUGGUCCUGAGGGUCGUGGGUUCGAUCCCCAUCUCCCACCCCA
rnacentral:tRNA from 1 species